GAUGAACGCUGGCGGCGUGCUUAAUACAUGCAAGUCGAGCGAACAGACGAGGAGCUUGCUCCUCUGACGUUAGCCGCGGACGUGAGAGUAACGUGUGGAUAACCUACCUAUAAGACUGGGAUAACUUCGGGAAACCGGAGCUAAUACCGGAUAAUAUAUUGAACCGCAUGGUUCAAUAGUGAAAGACGGUUUUGCUGGAACGUAUCGAUGGAUCCGCGCCGCUUUAGCUAGUUGGUAAGGUCACGGCUUACCAAGGCGACGAUGCGUAGCCGACCUGAGAGGGUGAUCGGCCACACUGGAGGUGAACCACAGUCCAGACUCCUACGGGAGGCAGCAGUAGGGAAUCUUCCGCAAUGGGCGAAAGCCUGACGGAGCGACGCCGCGUGAGUGAUGAAGGUCUUCGGAUCGUAAAACUCUGUUAUUAGGGAAAAACAAAUGUGUCAGUAACUAUGCACGUCUUGACGGUACCUAAUCAGAAAGCCACGGCUAACUACGUG
rnacentral:rRNA from 1 species